UCCUCCAAGUAAGUCCCUGAAGAGGCCAAAGUUGACUCUCCUGAAGUCCAGAGCUGCAAUCUUAGUCAUUCCCCUGCUUCUUCCUUGCAGGAUGCUGAACUCC